rnacentral:rRNA from 1 species
AGUGAACGCUGGCGGUAGGCCUAGCACAUGCAAGUCGAACGGCAGCACAGUAAGAGCUUGCUCUUACGGGUGGCGAGUGGCGGACGGGUGAGGAAUACAUCGGAAUCUACUUUUUCGUGGGGGAUAACGUAGGGAAACUUACGCUAAUACCGCAUACGACCUACGGGUGAAAGCAGGGGAUCUUCGGACCUUGCGCGAUUGAAUGAGCCGAUGUCGGAUUAGCUAGUAGGCGGGGUAAAGGCCCACCAAGGCGACGAUCCGUAGCUGGUCUGAGAGGAUGAUCAGCCACACUGGAACUGAGACACGGUCCAGUCUCCUACGGGAGGCAGCAGUGGGGAAUAUUGGACAAUGGGCGCAAGCCUGAUCCAGCCAUACCGCGUGGGUGAAGAAGGCCUUCGGGUUGUAAAGCCCUUUUGUUGGGAAAGAAAAGCAGCAGGUUAAUACCCCGCUGUUCUGACGGUACCCAAAGAAUAAGCACCGGCUAACUUCGU